AACUACAAAAAUUAGCCAGGUGUGGUAGUGCGCGCCUAUAAUCCCAGCUACUUGGGAGGUUGAGACAGGAGAAUCGCUUGAACCCUGGAGGAAGAGGUUGCAGUGAACUGAGAUCGCACCACUGCACUCCAGCCUGGGUUACAGAGCGAGACUCCGUCUCAAAAAAAAAAAAAAAAAAAAAGAAGAAGAAGGCAUGUUAGUAUUCUGGUGUGGAGUCUUUUUUGUUUGUUUGUUUUUGUUUGGUUUGGUAAUUGGUUCCUCUUGUAUUUUGUAGAUCUUGUGUGCGUAAUCUAAAAUACUAGAGACUGUAAUGGUUCAGGAAACACGAAGACUUCAUGGAAUGGACAUGUCAGUAAGUAAAUCCACUCUCUGAGCUACUGGCAAGGUCCAAAAGUCAGCCUCUGGCCAACAUGGUGAAACACUGUCUCUACUGAAAAUAUAAAAGGCUGGGCAUGGUAGCUCACAUCUCUAAUCCUAGCACUUUAGGAGACUGAGGCAAGUGGAUCACCUGAGGUCAGGAGUUCGAGACCAGCCUGACCAACA
rnacentral:lncRNA from 1 species